rnacentral:lncRNA from 10 species
CCCAGCUCAUUCUUAGCUAACUAGUGUGUGUGAAAAAGAGACAGUGUUAAAAUAUAUAUGGUUUAAACUGAUAAGGAAAUGAUCAGUUAUUGAGCUUAUCCAUGAUUGCUAAUUCAGGUAGAGAUGGCUUAUAAGUAAGUGUUCGGGGCUGCUUACGGGAAGAAAAAAUGAAAGUUAGGGAUUUCCUUUGGAUGCUGGGAAACAAAACUCCAACUGGGUUCUGACAAACAUACCAUGUGCAUUGUCCUGUGGAGACAUGACAAUGUAAACCCAUAAACAAAUCGAUUACGUUUUGGUGACAACUAUUGUGAAGAGAAUGGCCAUAGUAUUUGCUGCUUCUCCUUUUAAUAGGUAGCAUCUCUCCUCUUACUCCCUUGAAUCUGAGAUAGCCUUAUGAAGUGAUAUUGUGCCAGUUCUGAGACUAGGCCUCAAGAAGCCUCGAAGCUUCCAAUCUUGCACUUUUUUGUUUGUUUUGAUACAGGUGCUUGUUCUGUUGCCCAGCCUAGAGUGCAGUGGCACAAUCAUGGCUCACUACAGCCUCAAUCUCAUGGGCUCAAGCAAUCCUCCCAUCUCAGCCUCCCAAAUAGCUGGGACUACAGGCAUGCAGCACCACCCCACCCUCCCCACCCCCAGCUAAUUUUUUAAAAUUUUUUUGUAGAAGACCAGGCGUGGUGGCUCACACCUGUAAUCCCAGCACUUUGGGAGGCUGAGGCAGGCAGAUCACCUGAGGUGGGGAAUUCAAGACCAGCCUGACCAACACGGAGAAACCCAUCUCUACUAAAAAUACAAAAUUAGCUGGGCGUGGUGGCUCAUGCCUGUAAUCUCAGCUACUCAGGAGACUGAGGCAGGAGAAUCGCUUGAACCCAAGAGGCAAAGGUUCUGGUGGGCUGAGAUUGCGCCAUUGCACUCCAGCCUGGGCAACAAGGGCGAAACUCCAUCUCAAAAAAUUUUUUUUUUUACAGAUGGGCUCUCACUAUGUUGCCCAGGCUGGUCUUGAACUCCUGGGCUCAAGAAAUCCCCCAACCUUGGCCUCCCAAAGUGCUGGGAUUACAGGUGUGAGUCAUCAUGCCCAGCCCCAAUCUCAUACUCUUGAAAUCCUAAAGCCUUGUAUACUUUAUAUGCUUUGAAAUGAGACAUACAUUAAAGUGGCUGAUCAAAUUAAAACAUUUUCCAGUCUUUGCCUACUAAAUUGAUAAAGAUUUUUUAAAAUUUUAAUAGAACUAAAGAGAAAAUAUUUCUAUAUACUGAUGUUAGGAGUAUGCAGUUUAGGCCAGGCAUGGAGGCUCACACCUAUAAUCCCACCCAGCACUUUGGGAGGCCAAGGUGUGUGGACACUUGAGGUCAGGAGUUCGAGACCAGCCUGACCAACAUGGUGAAACCCUGUCUCUACUAAAAAUGCAAAAUUACCUGAGUAUGGUGGUGCACACUUGUAAUCCCAACUACUUAAGGAGGCUGAGGCAGGAGAAUCACUUGAACCCGGGAGGUGGAGGCUGCAGUGAGCCAAGAUCGCGCCAUUGCAUUCCAGCUUGGGCAGAGCAAACCUCCAUCUCCAAAACCCAAAAAGUAUACAGUUUAAACCACUGACUUUAAAAAUGUACAUAAACAUGGAUGCCGGACAUGGUGAUUCAACGAUUGCACUUACAGAAACAAAUCUAAGAAAACAGUAAUGAUCUUGCCAGCUUCUGAUGAGAUUAUAAGAAAAAAAAAAGAAGAAAUAAAUUUAAAAAAAAAAUAAAAAAAGAAAAUGGUAAUAAUCCACCAGGAUGUUAAUAACAGCAUUAUUCACAAGAUGGAACAGAAACAAUGAUUUUGUCUAACAGCAGGGAGUUAAUUAAAUUAUGACAAGCCAGAUUAUAGAAUAAUAUGCACCCAUUAAAUCAGAGUACUUAAUGAUACGGAAAAAAUUCCUAUUAAGUGAAAAAAGCAUUACAAAACAGCAUAUAUUAUGAGCUCUAUUUUUAUUUUUGAAAUAUAUUUAUGCAGAGAAAUACAAAAUGUUAACAAUAUUAUCUUAAA